UUUUGCACGUUCAUUUCCAUUUAUGAGUUUAUUUCCUUAAAUGUAUUGUCUAAGAAACUUGCAGUCUUAAUUUGAUACUAGAUUUUAACCCGCGGUAUACUGCGGGACGAUUUAUUUUCUAAAAAUAAUAUAUAUUAAAACUUAUAAAUUUUAUUUU
rnacentral:sRNA from 1 species